rnacentral:rRNA from 1 species
UACGAAGGGUGCAAGCGUUAAUCGGAAUUACUGGGCGUAAAGCGUGUGUAGGCGGUUUCUUAAGUCUGCUGUGAAAUCCCCGGGCUCAACCUGGGAAUGGCAGUGGAUACUGGGAAGCUAGAGUGUGAUAGAGGAUGGUGGAAUUCCCGGUAUAGCGGUGAAAUGCGUAGAUAUCGGGAGGAACACCAGUGGCGAAGGCGACUACCUGGCCUGUUCUUGACGCUGAGGCGCGAAAGCUAGGGGAGCAAACGGG